rfam:Octopus bimaculoides Scaffold56334_contig_85, whole genome shotgun sequence.
UCACAUUCUGCAGUACAUAUUCUAAAAAUUGGAACAACACAAGGAAGAUUAGCAUGGCCUCUGCACAAGGAUGACACACAAAUUCAUGAAAUGUUCUAUAUUUUU